CUGCUGCUCUUCCUCCUCCUCCUCCUCACCUGACUUCCUGCCUUCAGCUCAGGGUGGCUCCCCUGGGCUCUCCUGUAGGCUCCUCUGUGACUUGCUCUCAUUACCUACUUUUUAUAUGCCUCCCGCCUUCGUUCCUUGUGUUUUUAGUUCAGUCAUUUUUUUCCUUUUAUUUUUAUUCUCUUUCUUUUCAUUCUUCGGUGUCCAGUGGUUAUGUAGCCAGCCCAUACUGCAUGUUUUUUCUUGGCUGAUGAUGCAACCUCUUCUUACCACCUGGAUUCAAGUCAGGCUCACAGCUUGGCAGUGUGCAGCUGCUCCUCUUCACUCAGGAAGAUCAUUUCUUUCAGCAUUUCUGGUGAACACAGCCCCAGCAGGUCUUCCAGAGGAAGACAACUCUCCAAGAAUCAGGCUGUUGAGUACUUUCUGACCUCCUCUGCCCCAUGCUCUUCCUGUUCAAGGUGCAAGCUAGCGAAGUUGCUUCUCAGCAGCAGGAGGUCUUGUUGGAUGUGCUGUCCUGCAGUGUGCUCCCCUCGGCCCAGGUGCCCUGCAGCUGUGCCUUGGGGGAGAGGAGCUGGGGCUGUGGCAGCAGGCAGUGCAACCCAUGGCAUGGGCAAAAAUCCUCUGUGAUCUCCCAUAACUGGAUGUGCACGGCUGCUUGAAGAGGAGUUGGCAUCCUACGUGCCAAAAGGUUCGUCUGUUCUGUCUCUGUGUAGUAAUUGCAGUAACAUUGGCCUUCUGUUUAAGGGCUCCUGCACAAUGUUUAUUGCAGAAAACGGUCUUUUAGCAAAACUGGACUAAAAUACAACUUUCGCUUCUCUAAAAUGAGAAAUUUCCUGUAUCCCCGGCAUCCCAUUGAAUGGUCUCAUUCAUAUUUCAUUGUACUGAUGAUUAUAUUUGCUAAGAAAUCUCUUUGUUUAAUGAUCAAUCAGGGAAUUUAAUUCAUUAAUCUAAAAGCACUCUGCAGCAUAAUCAAGCUUCAUCUACAGUUUACAAAUAGAGUACUAAAAAAGAAGAAGAUGCAGUUGCUUGGCUGCAUAAAUCUGUCACCCAGUGAGAAACAGAACCCAGAUUUCUUGAGUCUCAUCUCUCUGCUCGCUUCGUGAACCACGGCCUCCUCAUCACUGCUUGAGAAUGAUAAAUGCCUCCCAUUUAUAAGCACAUAUACAUGUUCUGGUAAUACAGUAAACAAUGAAGCCUUUCAGUAUUAAGUGAAAGUAUUCACAAGAGGCCAGGCCUGUGGUCCUUAUGCAGACAAAGCUCUUGUGGGCUUGAGUCAGAAUUUUGCUUUGAGUGAUUACUCGACCGAGCUCAUAAUGUGUAUUUAAACCUUCUCAGGGGAGGAAGACAUCUAGCUUGAAACAAAUCAGAAGUGAGAUUUUUGUUCUGUGGAAUGAAAGAGACUAAAUGCAGUAUCAGCAUGGAUGAGGUCAUAUGAGAAAACGCCCUUAUAGCAGAAGCAAGCUGGCUUUGCUGUUGCUAAAAUUGCUUUCCUUGGGAUCAGUUAGCACAUUUGCCUGUUAUAGUUAAUCUGCCUGGUGACUUAUAGAAGAGGCGUUGCUUUAGUUGCUCAGUGUAUUAUGUAUGUAAGUAGUGACUGCUAUUCCUAAGUGGUAUUCUACAAAAUAAGAUAAAAAUUUAGCAAGAGUCUCACCUUUUGUGGUUUUGCAGAUGCAUUAAUUGGACCUUGAUUUUGGAGGUUAAGUGUCAAAUGAUUCAGGCCCUGUAUUCUCCAGACCACUGCAUCUUAAGUGUACAAAGCUGAACAUUUUUAUUGUAGAUAGUUGCUUAAAAAGACCAUCAGGCAACAGACUGAAGCACCCACACUGUACCAGGAGGGCAUUCUGGAAACAAACGUACCUCAGAGUACUUCUCUAAUACCAAAAAAGAAAAAAAUAUUUCAUUAUUUCUUUCUUCACACACACAAGUUAUUAGUUAUCAAAACAUUUGUCAUGUUGCUGUACUCAUCUCUGGCACGAGCAGUUAGGUGGCCUCCAGUAAGGACAGAUGUUUUGAUGAAGCUUUGGUCUUACUUGGUACAGUAGUUUUUGUGUUCACAAUUGUAAAUAUAUUGAAUAUAUGGUUCUAUUCUUCAGAAGCAAAAUAACCUUAUUUGUAGCAAAUCAGCGCUAAUAUGUAGAUGGAAAUGCAGCAGGCCUGUCCAGUAGAAAAGAAAGGAGUUCUGUAGGAAAUUUCUGGAUUCAGCCACAGUUUGUCUAAAAUUAGCUAUGUGCACACGAUGCAUCAUAUUCUGUACUGCAUUUGUUAUGAUACCAUUUAGUGGUGCCCAAUAUAUGAAUAUUAAAAGGCUAAUACUUGGACCCACUCAGGUUCAUGUUUUGAGAUUCUGGAAUUAAUUACUCUUCCCUUUAUUCCAGCAGGGUCAGCCCAGCUCUAACCAAGGUUUGAAUUUAUACUUCCAACGACUUUUAAUUUUAAAAGUAAAAAGAAGGCAACAGCCCUCCCUGAAGUUUGCUGAUGAGAGAAAGUGGUUUGUCUUGCAUGAGAUGUAAUUCUGAUGGAACUAAAACAUGCUAUUGCUGUACAGAUAUAUUUAGUAAAUAACUGUUUCGUGUUAACAAAGCACCAGAAGGCAGGGAGAAGUCUAUCAAGUGAAUCUUAAUCAUCUGGCAAUAUCUACAUUAAGAUUAUUUUUCCUGUAGCUGUGGCAGAGAAAUCUAAGGACAGACAGUAAGACAGAAACAUCUAUGAAAAGCCUAGAUACUGUUUGCAUAGAUAUAAGGGUGUUAAUAUUUUAUGUUGUUUUCUUCAUUAUUUAAUGAAGAUAUUCUUAUUACUUCAUUCACAAAAAAAAAUGUUUUUUUUUUUGCUGUUGUUGUUUUUUCUUUUAAUUAGAUUUGCUAGAUGAUUAAACAAUUCAGCAGGCUGCAAUACCAAACACUGGAUUAUAGAGCUCAGAACUGAUGCAGAUUUUUCUGUCCUUUUUCCUCCCUUUCUGAGACAGCGUAAUUAAUCAAGGCAAUAUUUUCUAAUAAUUUCUGUGAAAAGCAAUUUGCUUCCUUCUCGUCUCUCAGGUGACAGAUUGUUGAAGCUGAACCUGUGAUCAGACACCGCUUCGGCAGGCAGUUGCCUGUUCCUAUGGACGUUUCCUUGGCCUGGUUGGCCUGAUUUAUAACAGCUGAGGUUGUGUGAAAUUAAAAAUUAAUUAAGUCGAAUGAAUUUGUAAUCAAGCAGACUGGCCUGAGCUGUGGAGAUGCUAAUAGGCUUGUGCCUGUCCCCCUGCAGCCAGCUGAUCCCCCCCAACCCCAGAGCUGCUGUGCAGACAAGACCAGCAUCGAGACAGGGUUGGAGCAGAGGGCAGUGUGGGGCCAGGUUCCUCCUGACCUUGUAGUUGAAGGAUGAAAGCCUAACAGCUUGUUGAAAUAACACAUCAGUAGGACAGCUGUGAGGGAAUCUGCAGCGAGUAGUCCUUGGUGUUCAUCUUUGGUAUCUGCUCUGGCCCUCUGGGGUGCAGAUGUCUCCACACGCCUAAGUGGCUGAGGGAUGAUGCGAUUGCUUUGAAGACCGGGGAGCACUGCACUAACUAACAUGCUGAUCUGGAGGGCUGAAACAUUCGAAAAAGUCAUCGGCUUUUUGAAGUGAAAAAUUCGGCUCUUGCUGUGGCUUGCAGGUGGUGUCUAGCGUGCUUCUGAAGCUUCUUCUGGAAAGGAUGGCAAACCAAACCAACCAUCUUUUCAGCUGAUUUUUCUCCUUCUCCAACAAAUAUUGAAUUGAGUCAAAACUGAGGCUGAAUGGUGACUGAAUGAAAAACUUAACUGGCACAGUUUCCUCUUUGCAGCUCUCUAGAGUAGCUGGAUCCCAUAAGAUUCCUUUUAGGAUUCAGACCUUGCUGUUUGAAUUGUUCACAACUACUGCAGAGGAUCGGGGCAGCCAGGCACCUGUGUUCACUUCAUCUGCUUUGAAGAACUUUCACCCGUGGGGGACAAGUUUCUAACCUGUGGAACAAGGGAAGUCUAGACAAUAUCUGCCCGUUAUCUUAAUUUAUUUUCUGUUUAAUAGCUGCAAUUUUGUUGUUGAGUUUCUCAUAUUUUGAAGAGGAGUGUUGUAAUGUGCUGAUGAAGAAGAUGGAAAGAUUUACCCUUCUAUUUUCUUGCCUGAUGAUAACCAUGAAGAAUGCUGUCCUAUGUUUAUUUAAGGGGUCAGUUAAUAUUUCAUAAGUAAAAUUUUUCCAAUACUGUAGGCUUCAACUACAGGUCAGCAAGAGAAUAAAUCGGAUGAUGAAGCAA